AAAGAACUUAGUUUGAUCACAUUUUUAUAUAAAUUAUUUUUCACUAUAUCAGAUAUUUUACACGCUUAACCAUUUUAUCACUACCACACUCCUCACAAUCGUUCAUUUUAUCCAUCCAAAUUUUGAAUAGAUUCAAAUAGAACACGCAACAAUAUGACCGUAAAAAAGAGAAAAAAAAAAAAUACUAGUAUUCUCCUCUUCUUUACAUUAUUUUAGCCCAUUAAUUCUUAAUAAAACAUCUAGAUGCCAACUCAAACCACGAAAUUUUAUACAUAAUUAUAUAUUGACCA
rnacentral:misc_RNA from 1 species